GGAUUGUGGCUCAGUGGAAGAGUGCUUGCUUAGCACGUGUGAGGCACUGGGUUCGAUCUUCAGCACCA
rnacentral:tRNA from 1 species